rnacentral:rRNA from 1 species
AAAUUGAAGAGUUUGAUCAUGGCUCAGAUUGAACGCUGGCGGCAGGCCUAACACAUGCAAGUCGAACGGUAACAGGAAGCAGCUUGCUGCUUCGCUGACGAGUGGCGGACGGGUGAGUAAUGUCUGGGAAACUGCCUGAUGGAGGGGGAUAACUACUGGAAACGGUAGCUAAUACCGCAUAAUGUCGCAAGACCAAAGAGGGGGACCUUCGGGCCUCUUGCCAUCGGAUGUGCCCAGAUGGGAUUAGCUUGUUGGUGGGGUAACGGCUCACCAAGGCGACGAUCCCUAGCUGGUCUGAGAGG